rnacentral:RNase_MRP_RNA from 1 species
CUGGAGCAGGCGUUGCCACCGACGGGAUAAAAGAUACACGGUUUUUAGAUACAAAGGCUUCCUUCGCCUCUCGAUUCGCUUUUUAUC